rnacentral:rRNA from 1 species
GUAGCGUAUAUUAAAGUUGUUGCAGUUAAAAAGCUCGUAGUUGGAUUUCUGGUUAAGUAACGCUAGCCCGCCCUUGCCAGGGGUGUGCGCUGGUUAGUUGCUUGCCAUCUUUCUAGAAAGCCAGCGUUUGUCAUUCACUUGGCGGACGUGACGCGAUCUAGAUCUUUUACUUUGAAAAAAUUAGAGUGUUUAAAGCAGGCUUACGCUAUGAAUACAUUAGCAUGGAAUAAUAAUAUAGGACUUUGGUUCUAUUUUGUUGGUUUCUAGGACUGAAGUAAUGAUUGAUAGGGAUAGUUGGGGGUGCUAGUAUUCAGUGGCCAGAGGUGAAAUUCUUGGAUUCACUGAAGACUAACAACUG